rnacentral:rRNA from 1 species
CCUACGGGAGGCAGCAGUGAGGAAUAUUGGUCAAUGGCCGGAAGGCUGAACCAGCCAUGCCGCGUGAAGGGCAGGGACCUAGGGGCGUUAAACUUCUUUUGUGCGGGAGCAAUAAUGGUCACGUGUGGCCAGACGAGAGUACCGUACGAAUAAGCAGCGGCUAACUCCGUGCCAGCAGCCGCGGUAAUACGGGGGAUGCAAGCGUUCUCCGGAUUUAUUGGGUUUAAAGGGUGCGGAGGCUGUGCGGUAAGUCAGCGGUGAAAUGCCCCCGCUCAACGGGGUGAAGUGCCAUUGAUACUGCCUUGCUGGAUUGCGGAUGCCGUGGGAGGAAUGUGUGGUGUAGCGG